UACGUAGGGGGCAAGCGUUGUCCGGAAUCAUUGGGCGUAAAGCGCGUGUAGGCGGGUCGGUAAGUCCGCUCUGAAAGCCCGGGGCUCAACCCCGGGAGGCGGGUGGAUACUGUCGACCUCGAGUCCGGAAGAGGCGAGUGGAAUUCCUGGUGUAGCGGUGAAAUGCGCAGAUAUCAGGAGGAACACCGAUGGCGAAGGCAGGUCUCUGGGCCGCAACUGACGCUGAGGAGCGAAAGCAUGGGGAGCGAACAGG
rnacentral:rRNA from 1 species